AUUGAACGCUGGCGGCAUGCUUUACACAUGCAAGUCGAACGGCAGCGCGGGCUUCGGCCUGGCGGCGAGUGGCGAACGGGCGAGUAAUACAUCGGAACGUGCCCAGUAGUGGGGGAUAGCUCGGCGAAAGCCGGAUUAGUACCGCAUACGACCUGAGGGUGAAAGCGGGGGAUCUUCGGACCUCGCGCUAUUGGAGCGGCCGAUGGCAGAUUAGCUAGUUGGUGGGGUAAAGGCCUACCAAGGCGACGAUCUGUAGCUGGUCUGAGAGGACGACCAGCCACACUGGGACUGAGACACGGCCCAGACUCCUACGGGAGGCAGCAGUGGGGAAUUUUGGACAAUGGGCGAAAGCCUGAUCCAGCAAUGCCGCGUGUGUGAUGAAGGCCUUCGGGUUGUAAAGCACUUUUGGCGGGAACGAAAAGGACUGUGCCAAUACCACGGUUCGAUGACGGUACCCGCAGAAUAAGCACCGGCUAACUACGUG
rnacentral:rRNA from 1 species